rfam:Clostridium puniceum strain DSM 2619 CLPTN_contig000238, whole genome shotgun sequence.
GAUGGAAGGUCCAUCGAAACCGCUGUACAGGCGGAGGUUUCAAACCAC